rnacentral:sRNA from 1 species
GAGUGUGGUCCGGAGUCAGCGGGUUAUCAGACCUGAAACUCCUCCCGCAGGCACUCACUUGACCAUAUU